GGGAGAUUGUGCUCAGGUGAGGCUUAUGGCUGUGAAACAUCUUCUAAUUCAGUGGCUUCCUCCAAGGUAGUUGCAGGAGUUGACUCUGGGGCUUCAGGAAGUGGUUCUGACACCUUUCUUCUCAAGCAAUUGACUCUGCUGCCCUCGUCUGAUUGAAGUGCGACCUCCAGAUUAUAUCAAAAGCAAUCCCUGUAGGAGGGUGGUCCUGUUCUAUCGUAGUACCCACGUUUGAUCACCUCUGCAGUCCCUCACCAGGACGGCUUGUUCAGGAGUGCGACAUCCAACCUCCUUGUUGGAGAAGCCCACAGUUUGUUUCAGCUGUUGGUCCUGCGUACUGCUUCUGAAGAAAUCUAUACGUGAGCACAAGGGAUGACCCAGGAACAACAUAGCUGUGAAAAGGGAAUGUGAUGUAAAGGCUAUUGGGCGUUCAUGUCCAUCACUCAUAACAUGUGACAUCUGCACCCAUACCAGAAGCCAAGGCAUCAUAGAAAAGCUUCACUGGAUGAUGUGGAUCAUAAUGUCCCCUGCCUUUGUGAGAAUUGCAAGAUCACCGUUGGGUUGGGUCAAGGGGCCCAGGAAAGGAGAAUGGGACGUGCAAAAUGCCUUAUUUCCCCGGCGAUGUAAAGCUACGGGACAUGGCCAUUGUCUCCGGAAGACCAAGUUGUGUAUUGAGUACUGUACUAUUCAUUGAAGCCCCUCAGGGGAUGACCAGAGGGGGCUGGUUGAGGGAUUGCAUCAUCCCAACCUGAUUGACAUCUGAGACCCCGUGAGUAAGGAUAAAAGAGGGUCUAGGGAACAACCUCUUUAGACGCACCAGAAGAAACGUUAAGCGACCAUGUAACAGCAGGAAGUCAUCGGAAGGAGGCCACGUGCGUUCAAUUCCGUGGCUGGAACCAUGGAAAACAGCUUUUAGCUAACAACGGGGAAAUUCCCUCCCCUGACUCAACGGAUUGGCAUCAUAAAAGACCUGGGCAAGUUUAAACCACAUCGUUUUUAAACCCAACAACGCUGCAGCUUGAACGAACUGAUAGUGACUGUUAUCUUUCCAUCGGACAAUACAUUAUCCCCUAGACAAUGAUAGAGCUAUUUCUUAUUGAUUAUUAUUAUACCCGCACUUUAGAUUUAGUAUUGACGAUGUAUAUUAUCUGUAUGUUUGCAUUAAUCUUAUUUUUG